rnacentral:rRNA from 1 species
CCUACGGGAGGCAGCAGUGGGGAAUAUUGCACAAUGGAGGGAACUCUGAUGCAGCAAUGCCGCGUGAAUGAAGAAGGUCUUCGGAUUGUAAAGUUCUUUUGUUCGGGACGAAAAAAGUGACGGUACCGUAAGAAUAAGCCACGGCUAACUACGUGCCAGCAGCCGCGGUAAUACGUAGGGGGCAAGCGUUGUUCGGAUUUACUGGGUGUAAGGGGCGAGUAGGCGGGAUUGCAAUUCGGAUGUAAAAACGAUGGGCUUAACCGAUAGAGUGCUUUUGAAACUGCAGUUCUUGAGUGAUGGAGAGGCAGGCGGAAUUCCUGGUGUAGCGGUGGAAUGCGUAGAUAUCAGGAGGAACACCAGUGGCGAAGGCGGCCUGCUGGACAUUAACUGACGCUGAGGCACGAAAGCGUGGGGAGCAAACAGGAUUAGAUACCCUUGUAGUC